AUUCUGCCCAUGCGGGGAAGGAUGAGAAGCUUUGAGCAAGGUUCGACUCGAGCGCCAGCGAGAGAGCGUUGCCGCAGGCAACGACCCGAAGGGCGAAGCGCGCAGCGCUGAGUAAUCCUUCCCCCACCACCA
rnacentral:sRNA from 1 species